UAUUAAAAUCCUGGCUUUGGGGUGAAUUAGUGGUUUGCAGGACAUUUUUUAUAUUCUCAACACCUUUGUUACACGCAGUGUGUCCACGCUGUUUGAAAAAAAUCUAAUUUUCUAUUUUUAAAGUGGAUUAAAUUUAGUGGCGGGCGCUGAAAUUUUUGAGGCGCCCUCGUAAACGGUGCAAAUUUAUCCGAACACGUGUACUUUUUUUGACAGGUACGUCAACUGUUGCGUGAGAGCGGCAGUUUUCGGGCGGCGGCCGAAGCAGUCGGACGUGUGUCUGUGCGUGCGUCUUGUUCGUUAAAUUAUUAAAUAAAUUAUUAAACCGCGACCGCGACACGAAUUAAUUAAAGUGAUUCUGUGCUGUGUUGUGCUGUGAAAUUUUAAGGAUAUUUUGUACAAGGGACAAUUUAACCGCAAGUACACUUUUAUUAAAAUGAGGCGCGAAUUAAACUUUAAUUUCGAGACAAACGAGACAAUCUAGCGGCCGGUUUAAUUCACUUGUUAAAUUUUAAUUUUCAACUUAUAUCAAAUUUAUUCAAGUAUUCGAAAUAAUUUAAUUGCAAUCAAAUUUCAAAUGAGAACGAACUUUAAUUUUGAAAACGAGACAAAUUAACAUUGAACGUGAAUGCAAUCUAACGGCAGGUUUUAUUUAUAUUUCAAAUUUUAGUUUAGAAUUUAAAUCAAAUUUAUUCAAGUACUCGAAAUAAUUUUAUUGCAAUUAAGGGCCGGUUUACAGCAAACGAUUUAAAUUUUAAUUCCGAAUUAAAGAAUAAUUUGUUUUCACUUUCAAUUCAAUUCGAAGCGCGAAUCCGUUUAAUUUUAAAUUUAAACAAAAUCAAAUGAAAACGAACUUAAUUUCGAAACAAGACAAAUUAACCUUGGACUUGAAUGCCUUUUAACGGCCGGUUUAAUUAAUUUUUUUUUUAAUUUUGAAAUUAAAUCAAAUUAAUGCAAGUACUCGAAAUAAUUUGAUUUCAAUUAAGGGCAGGUUUACAGCAAGCGAUUUAAAUUUAAUUCAGAAUUAUUUUAAUUCGUUUUGUUUCACGUUUUACGAUUCAGUUGAUUGCGUAACUAAAGACCGGUUUACAGCAAACAAUUUAAAUUUUAAUUCCGAAUUAAAGAAUAAUUUGUUUUCAUUUUCAAUUUCAUUCGAAGCACGAAUCAGUUUAAUUUUAAAUUUAAAUAAAUUCAAAUGAAAACGAACAUUUAUUUUGAAAACGAGACAAAUUAACCUUGGACUUGAAUGCGUUUUAACGGCCGGUUUAAUUAUUUUUUUUAUUUUGAAUUUAAAUUAAAUUAAUGCAAGUACUCGAAAUAAUUUAAUUGCAAUUAAAGGCCGGUUUACAGCAAGCGAUUUAAAUUUAAUUGGGAAUUAUUUUAAUUCGUUUCGUUUCACGUUUUAUGAUUCAGUUGAUUGCGUAACUAAAGACCGGUUUACAGCAACGAUUUAAAUUUUAAUUCCGAAUUAAAGAAUAAUUUGUUUUCAUUUUCAAUUUAAUUCGAAGCGCGAAUCCGUUUAAUUUUAAAUUUAAACAAAAUCAAAUGAAAACGAACUUAAUUUCGAAACAAGACAAAUUAACCUUGGACUGGAAUGCCUUUUAACGGCCGGUUUAAUUAAUUAAUUUUUUUUUAAUUUUGAAUUUAAAUCAAAUUAAUGCAAGUACUUGAAAUAAUUUGAUUGCAAUUAAGGGCCGGUUUACAGCAAGCGAUUUAAAUUUAAUUCGGAAUUAUUUUAAUUCGUUUCGUUUCACGUUUUACGAUUCAGUUGAUUGCCUAACUAAAGACCGGUUUACAGCAACGAUUUAAAUUUUAAAUCCGAAUUUAAGAAUAAUUUGUUUUCACUUUCAAUUCAAUUCGAAGCGCGAAUCCGUUUAAUUUUAAAUUUAAACAAAAUCAAAUGAAAACGAACUUAAUUUCGAAACAAGACAAAUUAACCUUGGACUUGAAUGCGUUUUAACGGCCGGUUUAAUUAUUUUUUUUAUUUUGAAUUUAAAUCAAAUUAAUGCAAGUACUUGAAAUAAUUUGAUUGCAAUUAAGGACCGGUUUACAGCAAGCUAUUUAAAUUUUAAAUCCGAAUUAAAGGAUAAUUUGUUUUCAUUUUCAAUUCAAUUCGAAGCGCGAAUCCGUUUAAUUUUAAAUUUAAACAAAUUCAAAUGAAAACGAAAUUAAUUUCGAAACGAAUCAAAUUAACCUUGGACUUGAAUGCGUUUUAACGGCCGGUUUAAUUAUUUUUUUAUUUUGAAUUUAAAUUAAAUUAAUGCAAGUACUUGAAAUGAUUUAAUUGCAAUUAAAGGCCGGUUUACAGCAAGCGAUUUAAAUUUAAUUCGGAAUUAUUUUAAUUCGUUUCGUUUCACGUUUUACGAUUCAGUUGAUUGCCUAACUAAAAACCGGUUUACAGCAACGAUUUAAAUUUUAAAUUCGAAUUUAAGAAUAAUUUGUUUUCAUUUUCAAUUUAAUUCGAAGCGCGAAUCCGUUUAAUUUUAAAUUUAAACAAAAUCAAAUGAAAACGAAUUCUUUUACUUCAGAAUGAGAAUUUGUUCUUUCGGUCCACCAUUACGACGUAAAUGACUAAUCUGUUGCCAUGACAACUUAUAUAAUAUAUAAAAGCUAAUAAAGUAAUUAAUCUUUUUGGCUUGGCUGCUGCUGUUUCUGUAGCAUCAUUGGCUUGAUAAUAAUUUUAUCAAUUUCCACUCUCAUUUUGAGACGUUCUGUAUCAAUAAAUUAUUUUAAAGAGACUCUUUGAUGCUAUUUAAACAUUAGUAUCAUCUUAAUAGAGGUGUGCUUAACGAUUUAAAUUUAUUUACUGCAAUUACUUUGUCUUUUAUUUUUAAAUUUAACAUUCAUAUCGUCCUACAGUUUGGUAUAAAUACGUAUUGAUAAGCACAUCUCUAAUAAAAAAGGGAAGUAUGUACAGAAUUCGUGUUCUGAUGUAACUUUUUUUCACCACUACCGAAAGUAGCCAACAAAAUUUAUAUUUUUUACACGUCUUUUUUUUUCUUACUUUAAUUUACUUUAUUCUUCACUCUAUCUUUUCUUCUUCUUCACACUGUCGUCUCUUUUUUCUUUCUUUUUCUUCUCCGUCAUAUAAUUGCUUCAAAUGGGAAUAGAUGUAACCGCUGAUGCUGACUGACUACUGCAGUCAUUCAAUUUGUUUCCAAUUCAUUGAAGAAAAAGCUAUGAAUGCAAUUUUACUCAUGAGAUAUUUUCCUCACUCCAAGUAAUUUUUUGCUUGCGUCACCAUCGCCUACUGGGCCAACCGGGGAUUUUGAAUUAAUUCACAUUGUCACAUCGAAAACAAAUGCUCUCGUAGCAUGGUGCUGAACCAUUGGGAAAAGGAAACUAUCUGGUGAUUAUAAUAAAAGACGUAAGUGAACGUCGCUCCAACUCAUGGCAUGUUGGGGGAAAAGUGGAGGAAAUAAAAAAAAAUUUGGAUUCGAUGGAAUUGACUGAUCUAAUUAUGAUUUCUUAAAAGUGGGCGAGUAUGAUUCUCUUGAAUAAGUGGGCACUGAUUAUUUUCCUUUGACUAAAUUUUAUUAAAAUUGAUCAAAAAAAAAAUUGGCAAACCCCUAGAUUUGUUAAUGUAUCAAUGGUGUACUAAGCUCGUAGUAAAAUCGAAUAAAGACUCGAUCUCAUUAAUUUGAGUGUGUUAGUCGUGCUGAUGCUCCUCGAUAGACACAUACCUAUAAACGGUAUUAGCUGUCGUGCAAAUACAUAUCAUAGAUAUGUAGAGGAGAAGCUGCGAGCAAAAAAUUGUACACUAAAUACAGGCAUUUUCUAGGAUGGCUUUGCAUUCAUUAAAAAAAUUCACAAAAAUAUAAAAAAAUAAAAAAAAUAAAAAAUAAAAAAAAAAUAAAAAAUAAAAAAAAAAUAAAAAAUAAAAAUGGUCACAAAAGGAAAUUAAUCAUUGCCUGUUUAUUUAAGAGAAUUGCUUAGGUCGCCCAAGAAUCAUAAUUAGAUCAGUGAAUUUCAUCGCGUCCGCCUCUGCUUUUCUCCCAUUUGCCAUGGGUUUGAGUGGCGUUCCCGUCUUUUAUUAUAAUCAUCUCACUGUUUCCUUUUCCUGGUGGUGUCUGCACUGUGCCACGAGACCAUUUGUUUUCGAUGGUACAGUGUGGGUCAAUUUAAAAUCACCAACUGGCCCAUUUAGUCGAUUAUGGCACCAGCAAGAAUUAUUUGGACUGAGAAUAAAAUAUUUUAUGGGUAAUGCGCGUUUAUAGUUUUUUCUCUUUUUUUUUUCUAACGGUGUCACAUUAUCACAGUCAGUAAUUGCUUUCUCAUUUAUUUCCACUUUAAACGAUUUUUUGUAAAUAAUUUUUGUUAAUUUAAUGAAUUUGGUGGCUGAUUUCGGUACCGGAUUUUAUUUAAUGUAAAGCUCGAGUCUUGUUAUAAGUACAUACUUGCCUUUAUCAGGUAGGUAAAUUUAAAUUAAUUCUAACUUUUUUUUAUAAUAUAGUAAAGGUCGGUUUACAUUAACCCAAUUGCAGUUAAACUGCUUAUCACGUGAUCAAAUUGAUUGGCGAAUUAAUUUUUAAUUCACUCUUUUUUAAACCGGGUUUUGGGUUUGGUUUAUUUGUUUUUCCAUUUUUGGUGUGUGCAUAAUUUUAACCUUCAUAGGGGAAUUUUUAGACGCUUUAUCUAAUUUUUUUAUCUACAUUGACAAAUAGAGUCAAUCCCUCCAAGAGCAGCUUUUACAAUUCUCGUAUAAAUUUCGGUUAAGUCUGUUAAUCGUGAUAUCGUGUAAUAUGAAUAAUUGUUACAAUUUUUUUUUAUAAAUAAAUAAAUUUAUCCGACGAUUGUAAAUGCAGCUCUUAUUAUUUUUAUUUAUAUUAAUCAUAAAUAAUUUAUUUGUUUCUUAGAAAGUUUUAUCACAUGUUUUGCUUCCACCUUCAAGGGUCGCCCAACACGAAUGCCAAGAUUGCAUUAAACAGUCGUCAAAUGUGCUAACCAUUGCAAUUUUCACUUGGAGUUAUGAAUUUUGAGAGCUCAAAAGCUGGUGUCUGUGUUGGAUUGCCUUACGGACUGGUUGCAGCCGGCCUGCGGGAUUCGGAGGAUUUCAAAGGCGUUCUUCGUCUGGUUCUUCAGAAAUUAUUUUUUAACUGACAAUAAUUAUUAUUAAACGUUGUUAUAUUUGUGUGAUUGAUUAUGUUUUUUUAAUAAACGCUAAAGAAAUGUGUC